rnacentral:rRNA from 1 species
AUACGUAGGUGACAAGCGUUAUCCGGAUUUACUGGGCGUAAAGGGCGUGUAGGCGGUCUUACAAGUCAGAUGUGAAAUUCCCGGGCUCAACUUGGGCGCUGCAUCUGAAACUGCAAGACUUGAGUGCUGGAGGGGAUAGCGGAAUUCCUAGUGGAGCGGUAAAAUGCGCAUAGAUUAGGAAGAACACCGGUGGCGAAGGCGGCUAUCUGGACAGUAACUGACGCUGAGGCGCGAAAGCGUGGGGAGAAAACAGGAUUAGAUACCCGGGUAGUCCACGCCGUAAACGAUGAAUACUAGGUGUAGGGGGUAUCGACUCCCUCUGUGCCGCAGUUAACACAAUAAGUAUUCCGCCUGGGGAGUACGGCCGCAAGGUUGAAACUCAAAGGAAUUGGCGGGG